CCUACGGGAGGCAGCAGUAGGGAAUCUUGCGCAAUGGGCGAAAGCCUGACGCAGCAACGCCGCGUGAUUGAUUAAGCCCUUCGGGGUGUAAAGAUCUGUCAGUGGGGACGAAACUUGACGGUACCCACAGAGGAAGCACCGGCUAACUCCGUGCCAGCAGCCGCGGUAAUACGGAGGGUGCAAGCGUUGUCCGGAAGCAUUGGGCGUAAAGCGUUCGUAGGUGGCAUAUUAGGUCUGGUGUUAAAUGAAGAAGCUCAACUUCUGUUCGGCACUGGAUACUGGUAAGCGUGAAUGCGGAAGAGGUAAAGGGAAUUCCUGGUGUAGCGGUGAAAUGCGUAGAUAUCAGGAGGAACAUCGGUGGGGUAAGCGCUUUACUGGGCCGUAAUUGACACUGAGGAACGAAAGCCGGGGUAGCAAAUGGGAUUAGAUACCCCUGUAGUC
rnacentral:rRNA from 1 species